rnacentral:rRNA from 1 species
GGAACGUAUCCAAUAAUGGGGGAUAACGAGUCGAAAGAUUCGCUAAUACCGCAUACGCCCUACGGGGGAAAGCUGGGGAUCGCAAGACCUGGCGUUAAUGGAGCGGCCGAUAUCUGAUUAGCUAGUUGGUGAGGUAAAGGCUCACCAAGGCGACGAUCAGUAGCUGGUCUGAGAGGACGACCAGCCACACUGGAACUGAGACACGGUCCAGACUCCUACGGGAGGCAGCAGUGGGGAAUUUUGGACAAUGGGCGCAAGCCUGAUCCAGCCAUUCCGCGUGAGUGAAGAAGGCCUUCGGGUUGUAAAGCUCUUUCGCAAGGGAAGAAAACUUACCCUCUAACAUAGGGUGAGGUUGACGGUACCUUGAUAAGAAGCACCGGCUAACUACGUGCCAGCAGCCGCGGUAAUACGUAGGGUGCGAGCGUUAAUCGGAAUUACUGGGCGUAAAGCGUGCGCAGGCGGUUUUGAAAGUCAGAUGUGAAAUCCCCGAGCUCAACUUGGGAACUGCGUUUGAAACUCCAAAACUCGAAUAUGUCAGAGGGGGGUAGAAUUCCACGUGUAGCAGUGAAAUGCGUAGAGAUGUGGAGGAAUACCAAUGGCGAAGGCAGCCCCCUGGGAUAAUAUUGACGCUCAUGCACGAAAGCGUGGGGAGCAAACAGGAUUAGAUACCCUGGUAGUCCACGCCCUAAACGAUGUCUACUAGUUGUUGGUGGAGUAAAA